rnacentral:rRNA from 1 species
UACGUAGGGUGCGGGCGUUAAUCGGAAUUACUGGGCGUAAAGCGUGCGCAGGCGGCUCUUUAAGUCAGGUGUGAAAUCCCCGGGCUCAACCUGGGAAUGGCGCUUGAAACUGGAGGGCUUGAGUGCGGCAGAGGGGGGUGGAAUUCCACGUGUAGCAGUGAAAUGCGUAGAGAUGUGGAGGAACACCGAUGGCGAAGGCAGCCCCCUGGGCUGACACUGACGCUCAGGCACGAAAGCGUGGGGAGCAAACAGG